UCCAUCUGUGUCAUCUCUUAUUUCUUUCGUGUCUUAUUUUAUUCUUUUUGAUGCAAUUGUAAAUGGGAUUGUUUUCAUAAUUUCUUUUUGUGAUAGAUAGUUGUGUCUAGAAAUACAACAGAUCCUUUGAAUGUUAACUUUGUAUCCUGCGAUUUUACUGAGUUCAUUUAUUCUAGCUUUUUUUUUUUUUUUUUUUUUUGGUGAUGUCUUCAGGGUUUUCUAUGUAUAAAAUUAUGUAAUCCACAUAUAGUGACAGUAUUAUUUCUUCCUUUCCAAUUUGGAUAGCUUUCGGUCUUUUUCUUACCUUCUUGCUUUGGCUAAGACUUCCAAUACCGUUUUGAAUAAAAAUGGUGAGAGUGGCAUCCUUGUCUUGUUCCUGAACUUAGAGAAAAAGUUUUCAGCUUUUCACUAUUGUGUAUGAUGUUUGCUGUGGGCUUGUCACGUAUCACCUUGUCAUAGUAUCAUUUUAAUAUAGAGGGUAUGUUGCUUCUAUACUUUGUUGAGAGUUUUUAUCAUAAAUGUAUGUUGAAUUUUGUGAAAUGCUUUUUCUGUAUAUAUUAAGAUGACCAUAUGAUUUUUAUCAUUCAUUUUGUUAUGGGGUAUAUGAAAUUGAUUUGUGGUUGCUGAACCAUCCUUGCAUCCCUGGAAUAAAUCCCACUUGAUCAUGGUGUAUGAUUCUUUUAAUGUAUAGUUAAAUUUGGUUUCCUAGUAUUUUUUGAUGACUUCUGCAUUUAUGUUUAUCAGGGACAUUGUCCUGUAAUUUUCUUUCCUUGUGAUGUCCUUAUUUGAUAUUUGUUAGGGUAAUGUUGGCCUCAUAAAAUGAGUUUGGAAUCAUUCUUUACUUUUUAGGUUUUUUUUGAAGAGUUUGAGAAUGAUUGAUACUAAUUCUUAGAAUGUUAGGUAGCAUUCACCCAUAAAGCCAUGUGGUGGUCCUAGACUGAUUUGUUGGAGGUCUCAGUCACUGAUUAAAUCUCCUUAUUAGUAAUCAGUCUAUUCAGAUCUUCUAUUUUUUUCAUGAUUCAUUCUUGGCAGGUUGUAUGUCACUAGGAAUUUAUCCAUUUCUUCUAGAGUGUCCAUUUUAUUUGCAUAUAAUUGUUUAUAAUAGUCUCUUAACAUCCUUUGCAUUUCUGAGGUAUCUUUGUAAAGUCUUCUGAUUUUGUGUGAGCCCUCAUUUUUUCUUUAGAAGUCUAGCUAAAGGUUUGUCAUUUUAUGUUUGUAUUGGUGUGUUGCAUUCGCAUUUUUGUUUAACUUAAUAAAUUUUUGAUUUCUCCUUUGAUUUCCUUAUCGGCACAUUGGUUGUCCACAGUUGCAUGUGAAUUUUCAGUUUUAUUCUUAUAACUGGUUUUUAGUUUUAUAUCCUUGUAGUUGGAAAAGAUGCUUGAUAUGAAUUGAAUUGUUCUCUUAAAUUUAUUAAGAAUUGUUUUUGUGACCUUAACAUAUGAUCUAUCCUGGAGAAUGGUUCAUGUGCACUUGAGAAGAACAUGUUUGCUGCUGCUUUGGGAAUGCUCUGUAUAUAUCCAGGACAGUGGACCCUAUGAAAAAGAAAUCGGUAGCCAAGAAAAAAAUUACAGUGUGUAUUUGAAGUCUCCACACCAACGCCUAGCUCUGCAGCGUGUGGGUCACAGUGCUGGGAGGAAGGUGGGAAAACGCACUCCAGGGUUAGAAGUGUUAAGUGAAACACACAGCCGACUGAGCCAUUCCAGAGAGGUGCCGUUAGAAACGACUGAGAGCGUGGAGCUAACUCCCCCAAGGAGAAGACUGCCGGUGGAGAAUGCAUCGGUAACUCUGGAAUAGGCACGGUUUCAGCACAGACUGGCUAAGUCAAGAGGUGGGUAGGUUAGUAGCUAGAAGAGCUAUGGGCUAAGGGUGUAAUAGAGGUUUGAAUCCAAGCUCUUGCCAUUUAUGAGCUGGGUGACUUUAGAAAAGUCUUUAAACUUGUCUGGGUAGGAUUCCUCACCUAUAAAACACUAAUCCUUAACUCAAAGUGGUUGCGAAUAUUAAAGUGCAAAAAACAAACAAACAACUUUAUACGGCCGUUAACAGUAACAGCUGUAACAAAACUGGAACAUAGACUAGCAGCUGAUAAUAGGUACAAGGCUUUAGCAGACCUCUCCCGAUUAUAAACACUAACAGUUUAAAGUUUACCACUUAGGAGUAAGCAAGUCAGGUACAUUUUGAGGGUUUAUUUUGAAAGGUGUAAUAAUUUGGGGAGAGAGGAAAACCCCCGUAUAAUUUAAUACCCUGGAAGAAUAAACUAUUCUCUAUAUCUCACUCAACUGGGGAGAGCUAAAAUUAUUGAGCUAAUUCUUCUGGAUUUCUUUUUUUUUUUAAGAUUUUAUUUAUUUAUUCAUGAGAGAGACAGAGAGAGAGAGAGGCAGAGACACAGAGGGAGAAGCAGGCUCCAUGCA